rnacentral:lncRNA from 1 species
GUAUAGUCGAAGGCUUGGCUACAGUGGUAACUCAACAUGUAGUCCAUAACGAAAGUAGUACAAACGGUAAUAAUGCUAGAAGCAGUAAAACUCAGCCGAUGGAGGAAAAUAAUGGAAAACUCAUUGAAAGAUUUAAGAAAAUGAACCCACUGUCAUUCGCUGGAGCAACUGACCCAAUAUUAGCCGAACAGUGGAUCAUGGAGUUAAAGAAGAUAUUUGGU